rnacentral:rRNA from 1 species
UACGUAGGGCCCGAGCAUUAUCCGGAAUUAUUGGGCGUAAAGAGCGUGUAGGUGUUCCUACAAGUCGGUCGUUAAAUCUUAGAGCUCAACUCUGAGGCCGCGAGCGAAACUGUAGGAAUUGAGGUUUACAGGGGCAAGCAGAAUUCCAGGAGUAGGGGUGAAAUCCGUUGAUACCUGGAGGAAUACCAAUGGCGAAGGCAGCUUGCUGGGUAAUACCUGACACUGAGACGCGAAAGCGUGGGGAGCAAACGGG